rnacentral:rRNA from 1 species
CCUACGGGAGGCAGCAGUGAGGAAUAUUGGUCAAUGGGCGCAAGCCUGAACCAGCCAAGUCGCGUGAGGGAAGACGGCCCUACGGGUUGUAAACCUCUUUUGCCGGGGAGCAAGCCUGAGCACGUGUGCCCAGGCGGAGAGUACCUGAAGAAAAAGCAUCGGCUAACUCCGUGCCAGCAGCCGCGGUCAUACGGAGGAUGCGAGCGUUAUCCGGAUUUAUUGGGUUUAAAGGGUGCGCAGGCGGAAGUGGCAAGUAAGCGGUAAAAUUGCGGGGCUCAACCUCGCCGAGCCGUUGAAACUGCUAUUCUAGAGUGGGCGAGAAGUAUGCGGAAUGCGUGGUGUAGCGGUGAAAUGCAUAGAUAUCACGCAGAACUCCGAUUGCGAAGGCAGCAUACCGGCGCCCAACUGACGCUCAUGCACGAAAGCGUGGGUAUCGAACAGGAUUAGAUACCCGUGUAGUC